rnacentral:rRNA from 1 species
AUUGAACGCUGGCGGCAGGCCUAACACAUGCAAGUCGAGCGGUAGAGAGGUGCUUGCAUCUCUUGAGAGCGGCGGACGGGUGAGUAAUGCCUAGGAAUCUGCCUAGUGGUGGGGGGAUAACGUUCGGAAACGGACGCUAAUACCGCAUACGUCCUACGGGAGAAAGCGGGGGAUCUUCGGACCUCGCGCCAUUAGAUGAGCCUAGGUCGGAUUAGCUAGUUGGUGAGGUAAUGGCUCACCAAGGCGACGAUCCGUAACUGGUCUGAGAGGAUGAUCAGCCACACUGGGACUGAGACACGGCCCAGACUCCUACGGGAGGCAGCAGUGGGGAAUAUUGGACAAUGGGCGGAAAGGACCUGAUCCAGCAAUGCCGCGUGAGUGAUGAAGGCC